AAAUUAGCAAAGAAAAAAAACGAACUAACAAACAAACAAAGCAGAAACUUGUUGACCAAGAAAAUUAGAACUUGUGAAUGACAGAAUGCUUCGACAUAUCACUCAUGCCAUUUGAUGAAAAAGGAUCGAACUUCGCGACAAAGAAUUAUUAUGAGCCACAGAAGGGCUCUGCGGGAUGCUUCCAAUUCCCUUACACUACUUGAAAAUGUAUUUCUGCAAGAGUUUGAGUUGGUCGCAGAAACCAAAAUUUGCUUCAAGGAAAAUUUGUCCUUUAAAAUUUUUGCAGAAUUUUUUUGGUGGACCUAUAAGCCACGUUCCUUAGUCAACGAACCAGUCACAAGUUGGAGUUCGUGAAAAAACGCCCCUGCAACAUUUGAUAGAAGAAGGGAUUGUUAUGAGGCAGAGAAGUGCUCUGCAAGAUGCUUACUUCUAUUUUAUUAAUAGUGUUCAUAAUAGAAAUAAAUAUAUGUACGUAUUCAAUAUAUAAAUAGUAUACAUAUAAAAAUAAA